rnacentral:lncRNA from 1 species
UCUCUCUCUCUCUUUCUUUCUUUCUCUCGGAUGCUAUCUAUAACUUGCAUCAUCUCCACUCUCUUCACCUCUCAAUCAGCUUUCUUCAACAAGACAUGAUCAAUAGGUGAAGAUGAUGAUAGUGCAUCCUCGUCAUCAACGCAAGGAUUUGGUGCCUGCAACUUCUUCUUCAAAAACAACAAACUGUGCAUGCAUGGUAAGUUACUCAGUGUUGAUUCUCGGACUUCUCACUUUAUCAAUUUUGUUGCUGCCCUUGGUGUUGCCUCCUCUGCCACCACCGCCCUUAUUGCUUCUCUUUGUUCCCGUUUUCAUCCUCUUCGUUCUCUUUCUCUUAGCCUUCUCACCUUCCACUCUACCCAACAUGCCUGUUCUUUCAUCAUGAUCUGGGUUGUAUUCUACCCUUGCAAUCAAAACCUCUAUUUGCCUUGUAAGUUCCAGAACAAUAAGCAGCAGUGGAGUUAAUAUAUAUAUCUUCUGUUUUUUCUAUCAAUCAUGGAUUAUGUAAUUUGUAUCUAGUGUGUUAUUGUUCAUUUGCCUGGUUUCUGUGAUGUAUUGGCACCCAGAAAAUGUUAAUUUUUGAAGCAGAGUAAUGAUUAACUGACGGGAAGUUUGCAAAAUCGGGUCUUGCAAAUGGUUUUGAUGAUCUGUAUUAAUUGUUAUAUAUAUGCAGAAACAUGGCUAGUUGCAUACAUAUCACGCUGCAGAAAUUAAUGAUGUCACGUGAAAGUACGGAUGAACAAGAAAACUAAUAUAUAUAGAUUUUUAUUUUCUAGGAAGAAAAGUAAUGUAGGAUGUUAUUAAUGUUGUGUUUGGGGGGAUGUAUUUGACUAUUUUGUUUCCUUUUAAUAAGUCUUGUUAAAUUGGUAGUUUUGUUGAGAUAAUAUAUAAAGCAAUGUAUAUGAGAAGUUGAUUGUGGAAUUUUCUCGCCAUUAGUCAAUACCAACCAUAAUUAAGCCCAAAUACCAGUCUUUUCCAUGGCACUAACGUCAUCUACGCUUUGAAUUUAUGAGAAAGAGUUGUUAAAGACUGCAUUCAAAAAAUGGAAGAUAACAUGUAUAUCAGUAUCAUCCACAAGGGAUUUCAAAACCCCAUUUUUGAAGGGGAUUUCUCAGAUCCAUUUUUUUCUUACGUCUUGACUUGGUUCUUGCCGAAGAAGAAGACCUGUACACUUCUAAAACAAACUCAAUUCUGAAAGUUAACCAUGGACAUUAACGUUUGACUUUUGUGAGUUAUCUUUUUAUUCCUUGAAAAUGUACUUUCUUUUUACCACUCUUGUGACAAUUCUCUUCAUAAAAUAAUGCUUAAAUGCUUCUUUCUCGGCCUGCAAAUAUGUUAAUGUCUGCUUUUAGUUUCUCUAACAUUUUUUAUAAUAUCAAUUUCUUCUUAUUUUG